AACAAAGGCUUUAAAUUUCUAACUCUGGCCCCAGUCACUUCAGAACUGAAGAAGCCUUCAAGUGAAGAGGAAAGUCUUCCAGAACUCCAAACAGAUCCAGCAGGUUUGCAUGCAUAUAUCAUCAAUCUGAUUUAAAGUUAUUUAAACAUGAGCCGUUUAGAAACAUUUUUUGUGAUCGAGCCAUGUACCCUAGUCACUCCAAAGCUUCAACAAGUAGUGUCAUAAUUGUUGUGCAAAUUAAACUGACAUUUCUGUCUGCCUAUUUUCGUCUUUUUACCAUAAUUACACAUUUAACUCUUUUGCAAGUUGCAGAUUAAUGUUCUGGCCCUCUCCUUAGCUUCACGGCACCCCUCCCACCUCUCUCCUCCAGUCCUCAGCCACUCUGCUGUGGAACCACUUGAAUAGUAAGACCUCAUGAAUGUUUGCAUCCCAUCUUCGAUUCCUCUCUCCAGGGCAUUGAUGGCUAAUCAUCAAAGCUGGAUACAUCACUGACCAGCUGUGUGGUGUGCAUCACCAUAGCUCAAGGAUCUCUUGUAGCACCCACCCUACAGAGGACAGAGCCCUCACCUCCUGUGCUAUGGAUGGCAGUCCAUGUUCAAGAGCUACACACUGUUUCAUUUCAGUUUGUGUUUCGUUUGUGAACUAAGGACACUAACUGUUAAAGCUUUGGAGGUGAAUUCUUCC